UACGAAGGGGGCUAGCGUUGCUCGGAAUGACUGGGCGUAAAGGGUGCGUAGGCGGCAAUGCAAGUCAGACGUGAAAUUCCCGGGCUUAACCUGGGGACUGCGUUUGAGACUGUAUGGCUAGAGGAUGGAAGAGGCUCGUGGAAUUCCCAGUGUAGAGGUGAAAUUCGUAGAUAUUGGGAAGAACACCGGUGGCGAAGGCGGCGAGCUGGUCCAUUACUGACGCUGAGGCACGAUAGCGUGGGGAGCAAACAGG
rnacentral:rRNA from 1 species